UUUCAGCAGUGAGGAAGGCGGAGUCGUUAAUAGCGGCUCGUUGACGUUUAGCUGCAGAAGAAGCACCGGCUAACUCCGUGCCAGCAGCCGCGGUAAUACGGAGGGUGCGAGCGUUAAUCGGAAUUACUGGGCGUAAAGCGCAUGCAGGUGGUUGUUAAGUUCAGAUGUGAAAGACCCGGGGCGUCAACCUCGGAAUAGCAUUUGAAACUGGCAGACUAGAGUACUGUAGAGGGGGGUAGGAAUUUCAGGUGUAGCGGUGAAAUGCGUAGAGAUCUGAAGGAAUACCGGUGGCGAAGGCGGCCCCCUCGGACAGAUACUGACACUCAGAUGCGAAAGCGUGGGGAGCAAACAGGAUUAGAUACCCUGGUAG
rnacentral:rRNA from 1 species